rnacentral:tRNA from 1 species
AGAGACAUGGCCGAGUGGCCUAAGGCGCCUUCCUGCUAAGAAGGAACUGGGUGUAUGCCUGGUCGAGGGUUCGAAUCCCUCUGUCUCUGCCA